rnacentral:lncRNA from 1 species
AUGUUAUCACUUCUACCUACACUCUGUUGGUCAAAGAAAGUCAUCCCAAUGAUAAUGGAUCAGAGGAAUAGAUUCCGUCUCUAGUAGGAACAGCAGAAGUCUCAUGACAAAGAGCAUGGAUAUGUGUUCUCGUACAGAGAAGCGAGGAAGACUUGAGAGCAAGCAUCUAAUCUACCAUGUGAAGUUUCAAUCUCCCCACAUUGUCCCAUCUCCAUUCUUGAGUCAAUGUGCUGCCAUCAUCCUACAUCUUUGCCUCCACCUCCCUUCAUCAGAGAUGCACAAAGCUGUUUCUUGAGCUGUGGCCAUCCUGCCCCUACAUGCGGAAACACAGCAAGUGUUGGAGCUGACCCGUGGCUGCCCAUUUUAGACAGGUUUAAUGCCCUCCAGCCUGCCCGAGUCCUCAUGCCCAGGCCCACUGCACACCCCCAUUGACACUGUCUGCUGGUCCACGCGACCCCAGAGUUUUCCACUUCUCGUCUAGAGCCAGCCCCUCACUCAACAGAGGAGAAAUGAACCCUAGAGAGGGCAUGGGAUGAGUGGGUGCUGCCACUGUUAAAAGCAGCACCGUGUGGCUGCACCCCGGGGUUUGUGAGCUCCAAGAGGUGCUCAGUAACUGUUUACUGAACGACCAAAUACCCUUGCCCAAUAUUGCGCUAGGGUCAACAGCAGAUGCUGGUGUCCACCCACAGUGCCCACCACCCUGGCCACAGCACACCCCCCUUUAUCGAUCUCCUUGAUUAAUAAACAGUCCAUGUCGGAGAACAGGAGCGUAAAUCAUGCAUCUCUUUGUGCCCUUCUCCAUAUUUCUUCUUUUGUUUCUUGGGGAGAGGCUGAGGCAAGUCAACUCACAAAAAUGUGCUUCCCCUGAAUGGG